UCCCCCUCCAAAGCCACUAGACUAUGAUGUGUGCCUUAGUGAACGGGAAUGCCGAUGAAAAUUCGGCAGCGGACCUCGCCACUGUAAGUACCAGAUUUUAAAAAAUCACAGAAGUUUGCUGCGCCACUGGGUUGUCAUUACCUGGGAAGGCUAGUAAAACGCAAUCGGUACGAAGCCAGGAGACCGGCUAGGACACGGCUAACUGA
rnacentral:ncRNA from 2 species